UUUUUCUCUUACAAUUAUAUUUUUUUCGCCGUCCGUCUCAAUUUUUUAAAUUUUUUUUUACUCGUCCGUUCGAUUACGAUAUUAGGUAUGUUUUUCGGUUUACCGUCGUCGCGACUUCGAUUUAUAAAUACAUAGGAACCUAUAUUAUAACAGGUAUACCUAUAUUAUAAUAUAGGCAGAUCGUAGGUAGGUCUGUGUAAUCAUUAAUAUGCAAAAUAGACAUAUAUGUACAGGCGUAGUUACAAUGUCAGUUAUUACAAUGUGAUUUGUAUAUUAUAAUAUAUUCUCGUGUAUGCGAUGUACGCGGCCGACUUGGUCGUGUCAACCCGUUGAUUAUGGUUGGUGCGCGCGAAAUACGUCGUAAUGGACUACCGGUGUUCGUCGACCGACCCGGCGCGUAACCGCGGUAGUAGUUCACCGGUGGUGGGGACGAAUUAAUGGCGGCCACCGCGGCUACCGGUGUUCGGCCGGCUACCGGACUCCGCCUAUACCCCUUUACUCUUCACCUCCGCUUGGUCGUUUUCCACCGCGCACAAGUGCACAACAUCCGCAGCCGUCGGACACGCACGAAACCGCUCCUCUCCGGUCGGAAAAUUUCCUUCGCUAUACCAUAUAUUAUUGUGUCUUGUCGUCGUCGUCGUCAUCGUCAUCACCAGUCAGCCGUAGCCGCCUGAAAUAGAUAUAAUUUACGCGCUUGUAUUGUAGAUCUCUGCACGUGUUGGCGGCGUAUAUUGUAGGACACCGAUCUGAAAAUCACUUCACGUCAUAAUAUUAUUACAAUAGUUGUGUGUAUUUCCCACCCGGGUAAUCUUAUCGACCCGUUCCCAACUAGACGACCGAGACUCGGCCCGAGUCACCGCCGUCCGCCAAUAAUAUAUUAUUAUCGUAAUCAGCUCGUGGAGCGCCAGGCGAGAACGCUGCAGCGGCCCAACCAUGUACGCGGUAAUACAGCUCGACUCGGAAAACCACAGACUCCGGCCCAAGCGGGUCAAAAUGGAGUUUGUGUGCAAAUACUGCAACCGGACGUUCAACAAACACUAUUCGCUGCUUAUACACGAACGCAACCAUCUGCCAACGGUCAACUACCGGUGCGAGAUGUGCUACAAGUCGUUCAAACGGCAGGACAGCCUGCAACAACACAGGUCAGUGUCGAAAUCGCAUUGAGUCCUUGCAUAUCAUAUUAUAUAAUAUACCACCUACUGUAUUAUAUAUAUUAUUAUAGUACCUACCUAUAAUAAUACACAUAUUAUUUGUAUAUAUAUAUAUAAACUAUCACUACUCUAUACCACUGCUAUACUACUACUACACUUAUAUUACUCUAUAUAUUAUAUAUACUUACUGUAUACUACUUCGUAUUGAAACUGCCGUGUACAUAUAUAAUAUUGUCGUCGUCAGCGUCGGAAUCGAGGUUGUGAAAGCCGCCUCCUACUCCCGGAAUUCGUAUGAAUUUUUUUUCACAAUCGAAAAAUUCUUUUGAAUUUCCAAUUCGCGGGUUUAAUAUAAUAUAUAAUAUGUUAUUAUAUUGUAUUGUUAACCGCGAUUGCUGUCGCCAAAAGACCACCUUCAUGACCAGGAACCCGCGGAUGACGAGAAAAUGUUUCUACCUAUAUACCUACCUACCUGUGUUAUAUAUUUUGUUACAUAUACAAUGUUAUUAUACUUAUAUUAAUACAAAAUGAACUUUUAACGAAAUUUUUGGAGUCAAACGCAAAACCUAUACAUUAAUGAAUUAACUAUAUACCUACCUAUAUAUAAUAAGGUCACUAAAAUUCUAUUAACAUUUGCUUUGAGGUAUAAAAAUAAACACUCGACGAAAAAUAAUAAUAAUAUGUGACGUAUUUGGUGGCGCACGAUAAUUUUCUUGAUAAUAAAUUGGCACUAACUGACAGGAAACGGAAUUGACUUCAAAAAUGAGUUGUGUUCAUUUUGGAUACUUAUAUACUUCCUAAAUAUAUAUAAAUACACAAUAUAUGCAUAUAUUAUACAACAUACAACUAUAUUUUUAGAGUACCUAUAAUUACCUAAAUACAAACGUUCAGUGAUGUUAUAUACAAACUCCGUGUGUAUGGUAUUACUAUAUUACUACGGUGGUUGAUUUUAUUAUUACUACCUAUAUAAGUCUGCGUAUAGGCGAUCUUUUCACUUAUUUCAAUUCUUGUUCUAUAUUAUCCUCUUGCAGUUUUUCACGUUCUAUACUUAUUACCGAUUUAAAACAUGCCGACACAUCGCCUGUUAAAUUCUUUUUGCGAUUAAGAUGUUAAUUCAAUUUAAUAUCUUACUAUAUUUUAACAAUAACAAAUAUAAUCCAAUUCAAUUUUAAAAAAAGUACACUUACUUAAAUAAAUAAAACAAAAUAAAAACAACCAUUCUUGUCUGUUAUUAACAUUGGGUUUUGGAUUUUUCGCUAUUUUUUAUUUUUUUUUAUAGAUGUGGCCACUCCAGGUGAACUACGGAUUCUUCAAGACAACCCUUAUUUAUAAAACCUACCCAUCUAAAAAAAAACAAAAUCUAUUAUAGGCCACAUUUCUUACGCUGUAUAUUGUAAGCGAUAUAGGUACUAUUUAAUUCUUCUCUAUUUUAGUAAUUUCAAAAUAUGUAAAAACAAAAAAAUAAAACAAAAGAAUUCGGUUCAUAAUUUACCUAUUCACGUUAUUAAUAUAAUAAUACGGCAUGGUCGCUUGUUUUACUAAUACCGGUUUGAGGUCACAUCUCACAUAGACUUAUUUCUAUAUCUUAUACUUAUAUGAAUGAUCUCUCAAAAAAUCAAUUCUCACGAAAAUAUGAUCUGAUUGUGUGUACUAUAUAUGCCACAUAUUAUUUUCAAAUGUUAUUCUUCAAUGUUUUUUAAUUUUUUAAUUUAAUUUUAAUUUUCUCUCGGACUUCUUUUGUUUAUGGUUUUUAUUUUUCCAAUACAGAUCAACUCAUAGUCCAAAUUACAGAGCUGGGUACGCAUUGCAGCUUUGAAAAAAUUGUGAUAUGCUAAAUUAUUGGCAAAUUGUUGUAAUGAAGUAAAUGUAGAUAGACAGACAUUAACUAGGUAGUUGUUAAGUUGUAGUACUAAUAAGAUUAUAUAUUUGAGCAGACUGGUCGAUAUUUUUACUUUUUGAAUUAAAAAAUAUAUAUAGUUUUGAAAAAAACUCAAGUACAAUUUUUGGAUUUACUGUUUUUAAAUGUAAAUCAAUUAAUAAUUUAUUAACAAUGUAUGUUAUUUUAAGUAAAAUUAAAAGUCGUACAAAUCAAUAUUAUAUUCCUAAUAUUUUUAUUGUAAGACGUUGAUAAAAUAAUGAGACAUAUACCAAUGUAUUAUUAAUUUAUAGAAUAGUUAUCUAUGUGAAAUACUUGUAUAGAAGCUAUUUACAAAAUGAUUCUUCAAGCAAAAUUUUUCUUUGAAUGUUCCUUAAUAAUUUCUUACUUGAAAUUCGCAAGUUUGGCAAAUUACAAUAUAAGAAAUACCUUUUGAAAUGUUUAACGUUAUUCUAAAAAAGUGGGAUUAUCCUACAGUAAAACAAUAUUACCAUUUAAUAAGAUAAAAAAUAUGUGUUAUUGUUUUUUUUUUCUUAUACAUAAUAUAUAUAUAUAAUUUGAUGCUAUUUAUAUAUGAACUAAUAUGGUUUAGAAUUUUGUAAAUAUGUAACCAGUUAUUGUUAGACCUUUUUAGAUAUUUUAAAGUUUUAAUUUGUAUGUAUCAUAUAUGUGUUGAUAAAAAAAAAUAUAUAUAAUUUAUUUGUAAA